rnacentral:rRNA from 1 species
AACGAACGCUGGCGGCAGGCUUAACACAUGCACGUCGAACGCAUCGCAAGAUGAGUGGCAGACGGGUGAGUAACGCGUGGGAACAUACCCUUUUCUACGGAAUAGCUCUGGGAAACUGGAAUUAAUACCGUAUACGCCCUACGGGGGAAAGAUUUAUCGGGGAAGGAUUGGCCCGCGGUGGAUUAGCUAGUUGGUGGGGUAAAGGCCUACCAAGGCGACGAUCCAUAGCUGGUCUGAGAGGAUGAUCAGCCACAUUGGGACUGAGACACGGCCCGAACUCCUACGGGAGGCAGCAGUGGGGAAUAUUGGACAAUGGGCGCAAGCCUGAUCCAGCCAUGCCGCGUGAGUGAUGAAGGCCUUAGGGUUGUAAAGCUCUUUCACCGAUGAAGAUAAUGACGGUAGUCGGAGAAGAAGCCCCGGCUAACUUCGUGCCAGCCGCCGCGGUAAUAC